rnacentral:lncRNA from 1 species
AACUAUGGUGUGCUAAACACAAUGCAGACCACUUGUAACCUAACCGCUUUUAGCGCGGGACCGGUUAUAGCGUGGGUUUUUUUGACCACUGAUAUAUCUCCCAUAGAACUCAAUGUAUAGGCGAACCGUUUAUUGCGUAGGCGCACGAAGCAGAAUACCGGUUAUAGCGCGGCUCUUUUAAGCGCGCGACCA